GUAGGUGGCAAGCGUUGUCCGGAAUUAUUGGGCGUAAAGCGCGCGCAGGCGGUUCUUUAAGUCUGAUGUGAAAGCCCACGGCUCAACCGUGGAGGGUCAUUGGAAACUGGAGAACUCGAGUACAGAAGAGGAAAGCGGGAUUCCACGUGUAGCGGUGAAAUGCGUAGAGAUGUGGAGGAACACCAGUGGCGAAGGCGGCUUCCUGGUCUGUAACUGACGCUGAGGCGCGAAAGCGUGGGGAGCAAACAGGGAUUAGAUACCCUGGUAGUCCACGCCGUAAACGAUGAGUGCUAAGUGUUAGGGGGUUUCCGCCCCCUUAGUGCUGCAGCUAACGCAUUAAGCACUCCGCCUGGGGAUACGGCCGCAAGGCUG
rnacentral:rRNA from 1 species